rnacentral:lncRNA from 1 species
GGGGCAUUUAACUGCCAGUGCCCAGCAGUCGUAGUUGAGUCCUGCUGAUGAAACAGAAAACCUGCAACCUGCCCUGUUUGCAGGCAGAACAGACAGUUAAAUAUAUCAGCCAAGGAACAGCAGGGGCUGGUAGCUGAAGUUUGGACAGUCGAGCCCGUAAAUGAUGGAGUCUGGCUCUGUCAUCCAGGCUGGAGUGCACUGAUGCGAUCUGGCUCACUGCAUCCUCCAUCCUCCUCCCUGAUUCAAGCGAUUCUCCUGCCUCAGCCUCCAGAGUAGCUGGGAUUACAGGUGGAAGAAUUCUAAAAUCACACAAGAAAAUGUAAGAUAUCUUCCUCGAAUAUCAACAGAGAAGAACAGCAGCCACGUGGAUAAGGCAGAGUUUGGGAAAUCCUGGAUUCCCUUAUCAUAAAGCAUCUUACAGUAACCUCAGAAAUGCAGAAGUUACUUGUAAUGGUGCUGUAGACACUGUACGAGAAAGUUUCACCUUUAUGAUCUAAUUUAAUUCUCACAAAAACCCUGUUAGGUAGGGUGUUAUUAUUUAAAUUUAAAUCAGAGGAAAAUGUAACAGGAAUUCUGCAACUUACAGUCAAAGAGAUAAUAAACAGGAGCAUCUGUGGUUUGAAA